rnacentral:lncRNA from 1 species
AUGUGAUGGCCUCGGGGACUGGUUUUCUUGUAUAUUUGUCUUCAGGCCGUCCUCUGUUUCGGUCAAAGUUAUUCUCAAGCUUCCCCCUCUUGCCCCCUUGUGGUUUUGAUUGAGAAUCAGCCAAAGCCACAGUUGCUGUCCUCUUGCCCUUCCAUGUAACUGUCGCAUGGUUAGUGGGCAAUGUCACAAUUCCUCCCAAGUCUUGAGCAAAAGAUGAGAGGGUCGCGAAGGAAUCACAAGCCUUGGUGAUGAGGUGGGGCUUGAAAGAAUCCAAGGCACCAUUGUUGCAAAUGCUGACUAAGUUCU